AACAGGAUUCCCCUAGUAACUGCGAGUGAAGCGGGAAAAGCUCAAAUUUAAAAUCUGGCGGUCUCUGGCCGUCCGAGUUGUAAUCUAGAGAAGUAAUGCCCGUGCUGGACCGUGUAUAAGUCUCCUGGGAUGGGGCGUCAUAGAGGGUGAGAAUCCCGUCUUUGACACGGACUACCAGUGCAUUGUGGUAUGCUCUCAAAGAGUCGAGUUGUUUGGGAAUGCAGCUCAAAAUGGGUGGUAAAUUCCAUCUAAAGCUAAAUAUUGGCGAGAGACCGAUAGCGAACAAGUACCGUGAGGGAAAGAUGAAAAGAACUUUGGAAAGAGAGUUAAACAGUACGUGAAAUUGCUGAAAGGGAAACGCUUGAAGUCAGUCGCGUUGGCCGGGGAUCAGCCUUGCUUUUGCAUGGUGUAUUUUCUGGUUGACGGGUCAGCAUCAAUUUUGACCGCUGGAAAAAGACCUGGGGAAUGUGGCAGCUUCGGCUGUGUUAUAGCCCCUAGUCGCAUACAGUGGUUGGGAUUGAGGAACUCAGCACGCCGCAAGGCCGGGUUUCGACCACGUUCGUGCUUAGGAUGCUGGCAUAAUGGCUUUAAGCGACCCGUCUUGAAACACGGACCAAGGAGUCUAACAUGCCUGCGAGUAUUUGGGUGGAAAACCCAAGUGCGUAAUGAAAGUGAAAGUUGAGAUCCCUGUCGUGGGGAGCAUCGACGCCCGGACCAGAACUUUUGGGACGGAUCCGCGGUGGAGCAUGUAUGUUGGGACCCGAAAGAUGGUGAACUAUGCCUGAAUAGGGUGAAGCCAGAGGAAACUCUGGUGGAGGCUCGUAGCGAUUCUGACGUGCAAAUCGAUCGUCAAAUUUGGGUAUAGGGGCGAAAGACUAAUCGAACCAUCUAGUAGCUGGUUCCUGC
rnacentral:rRNA from 1 species